rnacentral:rRNA from 1 species
CACGUAGUUAGCCGGUGCUUCUUUACCCAUUACCGUCACUCACGCCUCGUCACAGGCGAAAGCGGUUUACAACCCGAAGGCCGUCAUCCCGCACGCGGCGUUGCUGCAUCAGGCUUCCGCCCAUUGUGCAAUAUUCCCCACUGCUGCCUCCCGUAGGAGUCUGGGCCGUAUCUCAGUCCCAAUGUGGCCGGUCACCCUCUCAGGCCGGCUACCCGUCAAAGCCUUGGUAAGCCACUACCCCACAACAAGCUGAUAAGCCGCGAGUCCAUCCCCAACCGCCGAAACUUUCCAACCCCCACCAUGCAGCAGGAGCUCCUAUCCGGUAUUAGCCCCAGUUUCCUGAAGUUAUCCCAAAGUCAAGGGCAGGUUACUCACGUGUUACUCACCCGUUCGCCACUCGAGCACCCCACAAAAGCAGGGCCUUUCCGUUCGACUUGCAUGUGUUAAGCACGCCGCCAGCGUCGUCCUGAGCCAGGAUCAAACUCU